rnacentral:rRNA from 1 species
UACGUAGGAUGCAAGCGUUGUCCGGAUUGACUGGGCGUAAAGCGUGCGCAGGCGGUUCGUUGUGUCGGCGGUGAAAGCCCCGGGCUUAACCUGGGAAUGGCCGUUGAAACUGGCGAACUGGAGUGUGGCAGAGGGGGGUGGAAUUCCGCGUGUAGCAGUGAAAUGCGUAGAGAUGCGGAGGAACACCGAUGGCGAAGGCAGCCCCCCUGGGCUAACACUGACGCUCAGGCACGAAAGCGUGGGGAGCAAACAGG